rnacentral:rRNA from 1 species
GAUGAACGCUGGCGGCGUGCCUAAUACAUGCAAGUCGAGCGAACGGACGAGAAGCUUGCUUCUCUGAUGUUAGCGGCGGACGGGUGAGUAACACGUGAAUAACCUACCUAUAAGACUGGGAUAACUUCGGGAAACCGGAGCUACUACCGGAUAAUAUUUUGAACCGCAUGGUUCAAAAGUGAAAGACGGUCUUACUGUCACUUGUAGAUGGAUCCGCGGUGCAUUAGCUAGUUGGUAAGGUAACGGCUUACCAAGGCAACGAUGCAUAGCCGACCUGGGAGGGUGAUCGGCCACACUGGAACUGAGACACGGUCCAGACUCCUACGGGAGGCAGCAGUAGGGAAUCUUCCGCAAUGGGCGAAAGCCUGACGGAGCAACGCCGCGUGAGUGAUGAAGGUCUUCGGAUCGUAAAACUCUGUUAUUAGGGAAGAACAUAUGUGUAAGUAACUGUGCACAUCUUGACGGUACCUAAUCAGAAAGCCACGGCUAACUACGUG